UCCCUGGUGGUCCAGUGGUUAAGAAUCUGCCUGCCAAUGCAGAGGACACGGGUUUGAUCCCUGUUCUGGGAG
rnacentral:tRNA from 1 species